rnacentral:rRNA from 1 species
CCCUUAGACGUUCUGGGCCGCACGCGCGCUACACUGACCAGUGCAACAAGCAUCCGUCCUUGGCCGACAGGCCCGGGCAAUCUUUGAACGCUGGUCGUGAUCGGGAUAGAUUCUUGUAAUUUUUGAUCUUAAACGAGGAAUUCCUAGUAAACGCAAGUCAUCAGCUUGCAUUGAUUACGUCCCUGCCCUUUGUACACACCGCCCGUCGCACCUACCGAUUGAAUGGUCCGGUGAAAUCUCCGGACUGGCGUGAGUCGGAGCAAUCUGACAAACACCGGAAAGUUGAUUAAACCUUACCAUUUAGAGGAAGGUGAAGUCGUAACA